GAUGAACGCUGACAGCAUGCUUAACACAUGCAAGUCCACCUGAACGUCGGUUUGGGUGGCGGACGGGUGAGUUACGCGUAAAGAACUUGCCCCACAGAUAGGGACAACAUUUGGAAACGAAUGCUAAUACCUGAUAUUAUGAUUUUAGGGCAUCCUAGGAUCAUGAAAGUUAUAUGCGCUGUGAUGGAGCUUUGCGUCCCAUUAGCUAGUUGGAGAGGUAACGGCUCACAAUGGCGAUGAUGGGUAGCCGGCCUGAGUGGGUGAUCGGCCACAAGGGGACUGAGUCACGGCCCUAACUCCUACGGGGGGAAGCAGUGGGAAAUAUGCAACAAUGGACCAAGAGUAUGAUCCAGCAGUUCUGUGUGGAAGAUGAAGUUUUUCGGAGUGUAACGUGCUUUCAGUUGGCGAGAAGAAAAUGACGGUACCGGGAGAAGAAGUGACGGCUAACUACGUG
rnacentral:rRNA from 1 species